UUGGGCAGGGAGUCAGUGAAGAACCUAGAUGAUGUCACUCCCCACCUUAAAUAGUUUUUGCACAUGGCAGGGAGCCCUUUUCUUC